rnacentral:lncRNA from 1 species
AUGUACAGCAACCAGUACAGUCCAAGUCCGAUAAGGUUUACAAGGACAUUGAUGAUGACCAAAAAACCCCACUCCACAUUGGAUUUAAUCAAACUGAUUAAACAAUCCUGGCCUAAGCCACCUUCUGUGCCACAAAUCUCCAGACAAGUUGAAAAUUUAUACAAGACUCAUGGAGACAAUACGGCUUUUCUGUCCAAGCAUCCGCCUCUGAACUUGGUCAUAGGCGAUGCAACUCAAAACAGAGCAAAGAAUUGGUCUAACACCACACCAAAUAAUAAGGAAGGCAGGAAACUCGACAUCGUUGGUCAUCGGGUAUACUCCCUAACAUCCUUCACAUUACGCGCUUUCUACCUCGCAGGCAUGGGUACACACCACCAUUUCUUAUGGAACAAAGCAUUUCCUUCUCUUCAAUUGGCUCAGGGCGAAUAUAAAUCUAGAGGCCUUGCCUUCCAUCAAGAGGCUAUGGCUGUUGCAUGCCAGGAGCACAUCACAGCAAGGCACAUAAUAGAAGCUGCUUUGAAGCGCAUGGCCACAGCCUUUGCCCUUCAAAGACAUGCUUGGCUCCAUUCAACCCAUAUCUCUGAUGAUUCUCACAUGCAUAUUGAGGAUCUAACAUUUGAUGGAGUUGGCCUUUUCGACACCAGGACCGAUGAAAUCCUUGAUAAUCUCCAAAAAAUGAGGAAAACUGCAAGAUCUUACAAUACUCAACCUUAUUACAGGCUCCAGCGCUACCAAUGGCGUCGCACAUAUCCUUACCAGCAAUACAGAUCCGUUCCUGAUAAACAGAGAUACUUACCACUAGCUACAUCCACUUUCCAGACUUGCCAUGUCACUCAGCGUCAAUGUUCCCAUCAGUCCUUUCAUUGGCCUGAGAAAAAACCAAAACAGUCUUUGACUUUCAAGUCACCCAGUCUCCCUCGCUCCACUCACCACAUCCUCAUCAAACUCGCCUUGCUGUCCAUUUUUCAUCCUGGGCUGCCAUCACCACAAGUGGGUCCUCGGUAUCAUUGCCACCAGUUACACCAUAGAAUUCGUUGUCCUCCCACUUCUGAGGAGAGUCCUCACUCCACCAUCCCAUGUUCUCAGCCUAGAAGUUCAAUCCCUUCUCUCAAAAGAUCCUGUUUCACCUGUCACCUCACCAGACGCCGACCUCGGGUUUUUCUCCAGAUACUUCAUGGUACCCAAGAGAGAUGA